GAUGAAGAACGUAGCGAAAUGCGAUAAGUAGUGUGAAUUGCAGAAUUCAGCGAAUCAUCGAAUCUUUGAACGCACAUUGCGCCCUUUGGUAUUCCUUAGGGCAUGCCUGUUCGAGCGUCAUUUAAACCUUCAAGCUAAGCUUGGUGUUGGGUGACUGUCCGCUUCACGGCGGACUCGCCUCAAAAUUAUUGGCGGCCGGUACAUUGGCUUCGAGCGCAGCAGAAACGCGAACUCGGGCCCGUCGUAUUGGCUCCCAGAAGCUAUCUUCACAAUUUUGACCUCGGAUCAGGUAGGGAUACCCGCUGAACUUAAGCAUAUCAAUAAGCGGAGGA
rnacentral:misc_RNA from 1 species